UGAGGCAGGAGAAUUGCUUGAACCCAGGAGGUGAAGGUUGCAGUGAGCCGAGAUUGUGCCACUGUACUCCAGCCUGGGUGACAGAGCAAGACUCCAUCUCA
ensembl:miRNA